GAGUGGGACUAAGCCAUGCGAGUUAACGCAGCAAUGCGUGGCAUACGGCUCAGUAACACGUAGUCAACAUAACCAGGGGACGUGGAUAACCUCGGGAAACUGAGGAUAAACCGCGAUAGGCCAAGAUUUCUGGAAUGGAUCAUGGCUGAAAUCUACAUGGCCCCUGGAUUGGACUGCGGCCGAUCAGGCUGUUGGUGAGGUAAUGGCCCACCAAACCUGUAACCGGUACGGGCUCUGAGAGGAGGAGCUCGGAGAUGGGCACUGAGACAAGGGCCCAGGCCCUAUGGGGCGCAGCAGGCGCGAAACCUCUGCAAUAGGCGAAAGCUUGACAGGGUUACUCUGAGUGAUGUCCGUUAAGGGCAUCUUUUGGCACUUCUAAAAAUAGUGUAGAAUAAGGGGUGGGCAAGUCUGGUGUCAGCCGCCGCGGUAAUACCAGCACCCCGAGUGGUCGGGACGAUUAUUGGGCCUAAAGCAUCCGUAGCCGGUUCUGCAAGUCUUCCGUUAAAUCCACCUGCUCAACAGAUGGGCUGCGGGGGAUACUACAGGGCUAGGAGGCGGGAGAGGCAAGCGGUACUCGGUGGGUAGGGGUAAAAUCCUCUGAUCCACCGAAGACCACCAGUGGCGAAGGCGGCUUGCCAGAACGCGCUCGACGGUGAGGGAUGAAAGCUGGGGGAGCAAACCGGAUUAGAUACCCGGGUAGUCCCAGCUGUAAACGAUGCAGACUCGGUGAUGGGUUGGCUUUGAGCCAACCCAGUGCCGCAGGGAAGCCGUUAAGUCUGCCGCCUGGGGAGUACGGUCGCAAGACUGAAACUUAAAGGAAUUGGCGGGGGAGCACCACAAGGGGUGAAGCUGCGGUC
rnacentral:rRNA from 1 species